GAAUACAAUGAGAAGCUAAUAAUCACUACAACAACAGGGCCAAUCCCAACUACACCAAUGACAACAGCCAACACCUUCACCUUGAAUUUCACAAUAACUAAUCUCCCAUACACUACAGAUAUGGGGACACCAAACACCUCUGCAUUUAAUAGCACUCAGCUCAUCGUAGAUACUUUGCUGGACACUGUGGUAAAUAAAACAAGUCUGAAGGACACUUCUGCUCAGUGUAAAGUUGUGGGCUUGAUGU